AUCCAGAUUCAGCCCGUUUAGCAUUUGCCUAUCGAUACAAGCGCCGUUCGUCGUUCAACCGAAUCUAUGAGAAAAAAACUAAAAUUUACAGACCUAGACACAAUUCUCAAUUGCUCAGGCGUCAAAGGAGACAGCAACAAUCAAAACGAUAUCAUCUUUAUUGCACUAGGCACAUGCUGGUCCUACCCAGCCCUCAAAUCGCUAGAAACAAUCGAGUCGUGUAGAGCUGAGAAUGUACAGAUCUUCCUUGUAGACCAAGAGACUUGUGUAGACUUCUGCAUAGAACAGGGUAUCAUUCCCGGGUCGCCUGCCGCUAUGCUGUACUAUAACGGGAACGCUUUGCAAAUUAUGAGGCGGAAAUCAAGCACUCCGACUUCUUUUUACAGUGGACAACUAAACAAGGACAAGUUUGAAUUGCUAAUCAAAAUUGCGCGCAAAGCGAUAUCCAAAGAGGCAGUGUUAGAAAACAUUAUUUUGCAAGUCCCCUUUUAAUUUCAACUAGGAGCACAGCUGUAAGUUACAUAAUAAAUUUUUUUUAGUAUGAUUUCA